UGGUGAUGCAGGAGAGGAUGAUGACCACACCUAUGACUGCACUUGCCACCAGUACAGGAGACACAAGCAGAACACAGCCCUAAGAUGCAGGGAGCGAAGGCUGAUGCACUGAAGGGAGAGACCAACCAUGCAGCAGUAACAGUUCAAGACUUCAGGACCCCACUUUCAACAAGGUAGCCUCUCACUUUGGAAGUCAAGGGCAGAGCUGGGGUGUGUCAGGGACAUCAGCUCUCCUCAGAGAAGGCAGGAGUGUGGAGGGGUCCACACGGCCAUCAGGGCUCUGGACUGUCCCGCUCGGUGUGUCCCUGCUGCUGCCAUGGCUUGGGUCACAUCGGUCACCCAUGACUCAAGGCAGACGUGCUCCUGGAGAGCUGGCCCAUCCAGGCUGCAGGUGCCCAGCAUGGACACCUAGAGCUGGAUGUGAGGGUGCAUGCCUGUCCUGCUCAGCAUGAGGUGCCGGCCCCUCAGGGUCACCUUGAAGAAGCCCCGGCCUCCGCUGUGUCGGCUGCAGACUAGAGCGCCGCCCCCCGGCAGUGCCCGUCUCAUUAUCAGCUGGGCGCAGGGAUGGCCUCACCCGUGCCUGCAGAUGGAGCCCAUAGGCACCAGCGUCCACCUGCACAGCCAGUUGAGGGAUUAAUCUUCCAGGCACUGUGACCGGCAGAGGUAGGUGCUGAUUUAAAUUAUGAGGGAAACUCUUGCAAUUUCUAAACGCGGGGCCCAUUUUAUCAACCAGAUAUAUAUGACGGCAGAGAAACAACACGAUGACAGCCCUCCUUCCCACCCCUCUGCCUCCCUGUCCCCCUACGCCAGCUGCAGCAAGGACAGAGGAUAAAGCAAGCUUUGCCUCCAUUCUGGACUUUCUUCCCAAGCUUCUUCUACAAAGGUGCCCACGGUCAAGAGGAAAUUGUGCCUUACAGUACCAGCUCUUCCCUGAGAGGCCGCCCUCCCUCCACAGAGCAGCCUGAGUAGCUACCAUCUCUGGGACACCUACUGUGUGUCCCACUCCAUGCUUAGUACUCCUCACACACUUAAUUCUCAUGAUGGCCUGAGAUGGGAUCCCCAAUUUAACAGGUGGAGAAACUGAACCCUAGAUAGGUUAAGUAACUUGCCCAAGGUCACGUAGCCCACAGAGAGGGAGCCGGGUCAGUGGGCAGCCUUAGGCCCACGCUCUUACCCUCGCUGCUAUUCUGUGGCUACCAGGCACUAGGCUCUGUGGUGUUGGGU